rnacentral:lncRNA from 1 species
GGUGAGCAGGGGGGUCCUCCGCACCCCCGCAACUCCGGUUAAUCCUCUAGUGCUAACCCAAGCUUCUCGCUCACUCCUGCUAUAGCCAGAUGCCAAGCCAGCCUGGGAGAGAAGCGUCUCUCAGCCGGGAUCCCUGACAAAGACACACCUGCCCCAUGAGGAAGUCUGAGGUGCUUUACGCUCAGCCCUCACUGCAAAAGCGCCACGGCCCAGUUUACAUCCGGUCACUGAAACCUACAUUUAGCAGCCCGGUUUGCACCUGGUUUUUGGGAAUCAACAGUCCCCCCGACGGAGCAUCAGCCAACAGGCUGGGAACUCUUGUCAACAAGCUCUUAAACGGCUCACAAUUCUGCUAAGAGCUUGCAUGUAUCUAGCUGGUGCUCAAAGACCCAAGUAAAAACAUUAAACGGAGGGUUUCUGCCCAUUCCGCAGUCUAAAGCGAGAAGUCAUCUGUCCUAGGGGGUGCCCUAGUGUCCUG